rnacentral:rRNA from 1 species
UACGUAGGGGGCAAGCGUUAUCCGGAUUUAUUGGGCGUAAAGAGCGCGUAGGCGGUCUGUUAAGCGAGAUGUGAAAACCGGGGGCUCAACCCGCGGCCUGCAUCUCGAACUGGCAGACUUGAGUCUGGUAGAGGAAAGUGGAAUUCCUGGUGUAGCGGUGAAAUGCGCAGAUAUCAGGAGGAACACCAGUGGCGAAGGCGGCUUUCUGGGCCACGACUGACGCUGAGGCGCGAAAGCUAGGGGAGCGAACAGG